AUUUUUUCAUAAAAGAGGCACAUGUAUAACUGAUCUCAAUUUAACCUGCAAAAGUAAAAUUUUAACUUCAAUUAAUAUACCCCAACAGAUCUUACCAUUCCCUCACACAAACCACAUCUACAAGACAGGGAUUAGAUACCCCUUUAUUGCGUGGCCCAACACAACAAACACUAAAAACGAAAGUUCCAAACUUAAAGAACGUGGCGGUGUUCUACACCUUAUUAGGGGAUCCUGUGGCUUAAUUCGAUAAUCCACGAUUAAAUAAAGCUUUAUUAGUUUCACAGCUUAUGUAUGGCCGUAUUAUGCCUGCACACUAAUGUUACAACAGGAGACAACCAAAGUCAAAACUUUACAAAUACAGGUGACAUAUAGCCUAUAUAAAGCAGUUCAUGGGAUACAAAUAACAAUUAUUACCCGAAAGUAAUUUGAAAUUUUUUACAAAAAGGAGGACUUAAAAGUAAGAUUAAAACAACAUUUUAAUCUGAAUAAGAUCUAGAACGCGCACAAAUCGCCCGUCACUCCCGACUCUAAUCGGGACAAGUCGUAACAUAGUAGGGGUAACGGAAGUUGCCCCUAAU
rnacentral:rRNA from 1 species